rnacentral:rRNA from 1 species
UUUCAACAACGGAUCUCUUGGUUCCGGCAUCGAUGAAAAACGCAGCGAAAUGCGAUACGUAAUGUGAAUUGCAAAUUCAGUGAAUCAUCGAGUCUUUGAACGCACAUUGCGCCCCCUGGUAUUCCGGGGGGCAUGCCUGUCCGAGCGUCAUUGCUGCC